GUCGGUGCGUGGUUGGGAUCCGCAGCCAUCUUGAAGAAGGGGAAAAGGAAGGUGUCCUAUAUGAGGACUCCACCGAAACCCAUUCCUUGUUUCUGAAAUGAGCUAUUCUGGUGGUAAGCAGCCAGCGCCACUCAUACCACAGGGAGGAAGCUAUCCGCAGAUUUAUCCUCAGCCAGGAUAUUCAUAUGACAAGGCGGACGUGGGGCCCGUGGGGCUGUCGGACGGCAGAGCGGCGGCGCUGAGCCAGCCGGGCCGCUCCUACCCGCAGCCGGGCCGCAUGUACAGCCACAGCGUCCAGUCAGUGGACGUGGGAGGCGCCGGCAGUGCCGCCGCGGCCGCCUACCAGCAACACCAGC